UGAUAGGAAAUGUCCCAUAGAUGAAUUGCAGAUGAGCAAACACUCUAAAAAAUAGGUCUUGCAGAUAUAAAUACAGACGUCAAAUAGACGUCUCUGUGAUGUACAUUACACUGUCAGUCAA